rnacentral:rRNA from 1 species
GACGAACGCUGGCGGCGUGCCUAACACAUGCAAGUUGAGCGACGAACCAGGGCUUGCCCUGGGGCAAAGCAGCGAACGGGUGAGUAACACGUGGGUAACCUGCCCCGAUGAUCGGGACAACCCGAGGAAACUCGGGCUAAUACCGAAUGUGCUCGCCGGACACCAGUCCGGCGCGUAAAGGAAGCUUCGGCCUCCGCAUCGGGAGGGGCCCGCGGCCCAUUAGCUUGUUGGUGAGGUAACGGCUCACCAAGGCAACGAUGGGUAGCUGGUCUGAGAGGACGAUCAGCCACACGGGGACUGAGACACGGCCCAGACUCCUACGGGAGGCAGCAGUGGGGAAUCUUGCGCAAUGCGCGAAAGCGUGACGCAGCAACGCCGCGUGGGGGAAGAAGGCCUUCGGGUUGUAAACCCCUUUCAGGAGGGACGAAGGUUCGGCGGUGAAUAGCCGUCCGGACUGUCGGUACCUCCACAAGAAGCCCCGGCUAACUACGUGCCAGCAGCCGCCGUAAAAC